CCUACGGGAGGCAGCAGUGGGGAAUAUUGCACAAUGGGCGAAAGCCUGAUGCAGCGACGCCGCGUGAGGGAUGACGGCCUUCGGGUUGUAAACCUCUUUCAGCAGGGAAGAAGCGAGAGUGACGGUACCUGCAGAAGAAGCGCCGGCUAACUACGUGCCAGCAGCCGCGGUAAUACGUAGGGCGCAAGCGUUGUCCGGAAUUAUUGGGCGUAAAGAGCUCGUAGGCGGCUUGUUGCGUCGGUUGUGAAAGCCCGGGGCUUAACCCCGGGUCUGCAGUCGAUACGGGCAGGCUAGAGUGUGGUAGGGGAGAUCGGAAUUCCUGGUGUAGCGGUGAAAUGCGCAGAUAUCAGGAGGAACACCGGUGGCGAAGGCGGAUCUCUGGGCCAUUACUGACGCUGAGGAGCGAAAGCGUGGGGAGCGAACAGGAUUAGAUACCCUGGUAGUCCACGCCGUAAACGUUGGGAACUAGGUGUUGGCGACAUCACGUCGUCGGUGCGCGNGCUACGACAUUAACGUUACCCGUCCCGUCGGGUACGGUACGGCCGGCCGACGGACGUAAACCGUUAAACUAGAAGUUAGACGGCGUGAGACGUAGCCGACGGACGACGACCGAGGGAGGUAGG
rnacentral:rRNA from 1 species